rnacentral:lncRNA from 1 species
UUUAUUAUUAAACCGCUGCAAUAUCUUAUAAUCAACCAGUCACAAAUAUCCCGCAAACACAACAAUUUUCAAACGUUGUACCAAUCAUACAAAACGCUUAAUAACGCUUGAAACCGCAACCAUCCGCAUCAGCAAACUCCCGCACCCGCAACCGCAACCGCUGCGUUUAAACAAGUCAUGCCUUAAAUAAACUAAUCCCUAGACCCAUCAAAAUGGUUUCCAAAACAUUUGUAUUAUAAAUUUUGUAUAAGCCCAUGAAUUGCCGGUUUAUUUAAAACUAGUAUGUUUCCCCGUGCUCUACGCAGGGGAAUUUUGAUUGUUUUUCUAAGUAAAAAUGUUAUUUGUUCUUUACCCUUCAAAACCUUUUUUCAAGUUUAACUUAAUGGUGUUGUGGCCCCAAAAUUAAUAUUUAUUUACAUAAAAGUAUAUUCUAAUAAUUAGAAGAAAAUAAUCGACAGUAACUAAUAUUAGUAUAUUUAUUAGUAAAAUAUAUAUUUCAUAUUUUAUAGAAUAUAUUUGGUUAACCAAAAUAUGAGUAGUAUACUAAUACUUUUACAAAUGUAAACAUAUAUAAAUAAAUAAUUAUUUUAUUUUACUUUAAUUUUGAUUUACCAAAUUCAUAAUAGCCUCAAGCAUUUUCAGUCAUGCUUAUAAAUGUAAGCCCAUGAUAUAUAUAUAUAUAUAUAUAUUAUAUAUUCAACUUAAGGCCACGAUACUGUUCCAAAUUUAGUCAUUUAGGGUUGUACAAAUUGUUUAAGAAUUUGUCGAGCAUAAAAUGUUUUCAACAUUAAUUGAAAUUUAAAGAGAAAAAUUCAUUAGUUAAAGUUAUCUUAUACUCCCUUGAAUGGUUAAAAAGUUGUAUCUUACCUAUUUAACAAAACUGAGCAUCACAUGAAUCGAGAGUCUCCGUAUCCAUACUCUUCAACCGUCGUUGAGAACAUAACUUGUUUUUCCCUAUUUA